GUAUUAGUUUAAAUUGUUUUAUUUUAAAAAGUUUACUUUCCUUCAAUCAGGACAUCAAAUAAUAUAAAAAGAUCAUAUUCUUGUUUUAAGAACCUGUAUGUUUUAAAGUGUCAAGAAAUACAGCAGAACCAUGAGGUUGUAGGUUCGAUCCCUGGCCUUGCUCAGUGAAUUAAGGAUCUGGCCUUGCCGUGAGCUGUGGUGUAGGUUACAGACACGGCUUGGAUCCCGCGUUGCUGUGGCUCUGGUGUAGGCCGGCAGCUACAGCUCCGAUUAGACUCCUAAGCCUGGGAACCUCCACAUGCUGUGGCAGUGGCCCUAGAAAAGGCAAAAAGACCAAAAAAAAAAAAAAGGUGUUUUGAGUUAAAUUUCUGUAAUACUAUAUAAUACUUCUCUUAUUUGAUGCAAAUACUUUAGACACUAUUAUCAGAGAUAAAAAUUACAUAGGAAACAGAAGGCUGUAUUACCAAAUCUCAAACAAGAGGGUUACGGAUUAAAACAAACCAAAAAACACCUCUAAGAAACUGUCUCUUCUGCAGGGAAUGUGGCUAUCUUUAAGACUGGUUGAAUUGCUGGAGUAGGUCUUCUUGGUGGAGAGGGGUCAAGGUAUAUGUUGAUGGACAAAGGGAACGAAAAACGACCAUCAAACCGACAGACAGUAUCUUGAGACCAAAAAAUGAGGCAGGCCACCCCCCAUAAUCAAUGAAUCAGCUCAUUGCAUGGCAGUUUACUCACAGGGUGGGACAGGGUGGGUGGGUGACAUCCAGAAGCAUUCACUGCCACCAUUGGGACAAUUUUAUAGUUACCCUAGAGUGUGGGGGUACGUGCUUGGAACUGGGAAGUGCAUUCCUAAAUCAAGAUUUAUGAAUGGGUAACUAACCUCAUGGGCGCCAGAAAUACGUCAGUGAAGGUCUUCAUUAUUGUUUGGAGACUAAUAGGGCACAAAGGCCACCUGGCCUAACAAUCAUUAAACAACAUCUAUUAACUACAAAGCCCUUGACACCAGAGAAGAGAUUUACUACCCUAGGAUGGGUCAGCUGAAGGACAGGAGGAACCGAAUGGGCCCAAGAUGGCAUUGGGUUAUGAUGCUAACUGCCCAGUGUGGCAGGGUCCUUCCCGUACGUAGCUGGUGAAGACCCACUGCUUUGCCUCCUUCCUAAAUCACUACCUCCAUUAGCAUUACCUGGACCAGGCAGAGGUCAGGCCCUGGGGAAGGACUGUGCACCCACCACUUCGGAUGCUCCUUUCUUGACGCCCCUUCUCCCCAACCAUUGUCCAUCUAUAUGCAGAAGGCAGGAUAUGAAUCAUUUUAACUUAGCCCUUUAUCCCAUUUAGCCAUAAAAUACAAAUACCUGCUUCAGAUCUAAAACUGCAGUCUUUGUUUUAAGUGAACAAUCAGGCAACAGUGUGAGUGACAACAGCUCCCUCAUUUUUAUAGGGA
rnacentral:lncRNA from 1 species